rnacentral:rRNA from 1 species
CGCGUAGGCGGCUUGGCCAGUCAGGCGUGAAAUUCCUGGGCUUAACCUGGGGACUGCGCUUGAUACUGCCAGGCUUGAGGCCGAGAGAGGGUGGUGGAAUUCCCAGUGUAGAGGUGAAAUUCGUAGAUAUUGGGAAGAACACCGGUGGCGAAGGCGACCACCUGGCUCGGUACUGACGCUGAGGCGCGACAGCGUGGGGAGCAAACA